rnacentral:rRNA from 1 species
GGAAUAUUGCACAAUGGGGGAAACCCUGAUGCAGCGACGCCGCGUGAGUGAAGAAGUAUUUCGGUAUGUAAAGCUCUAUCAGCAGGGAAGAAGAUGACGGUACCUGCAAAAGAAGCACCGGCUAACUACGUGCCAGCAGCCGCGGUAAUACGUAGGGGGCAAGCGUUAUCCGGAUUUACUGGGUGUAAAGGGAGCGCAGACGGAAGGCCAAGUCAGGUGUGAAAGGCAUGGGCUCAACCCAUGGACUGCACUUGAAACUGGUCAUCUCGAGUAUCGGAGGGGCAGGCGGAAUUCCUGGUGUAGCGGUGAAAUGCGUAGAUAUCAGGAAGAACACCGGUGGCGAAGGCGGCCUGCUGGACGAUAACUGACGUUGAGGCUCGAAAGCGUGGGGAGCAAACA